AUGACUUCUCCUUAUUCUUCUUUAGUGCCUCCUGGCUGUUUAGAGGGUGAUCCUUUCAAAAAUGCUUGCAGGUCAGUGCCAACUCAAAGAUGGAACAGAUUUCAAGAUCUGGGGAUGUUUCUCCAUGAUGGUGUUUCAGACAUGAUAGUGGAGGAGGAGAGAGAGAAACAGAAAGAGAAAGAGAGAAAGAGAGACAGACAGACAGAGACACACAAAGAGACAAAGACGGAGAGAGGUGAAAUUGGAGACAUCAGCGUUCUUAAAAGCUUUCCAGUGGAAAAGAACAGAAGCUCCUUGUCAGAAGCAGGCUAUUAUACAGAGAAGAGAGACACCCCCACUCCCAACCUCUCAUCCAGCCUUCCCUGCACUGUCCAGGCCCUCGUCCCCUGCAGGAGGAAUCUGCAUCUGGCUGACACAGCCCUGGGAGCAGCCACCACCUGCUGGUGUACAGCUCCCAGCUGUUCCCCUCCACAGGCUGCUUCUGGACUCCCAAAACCUGGGCCCUGAGAGCCCAGUGAGCCCUGCAGACUCCUGCACUUCCUUGCAGCUGAGAAGAGGGGAUGACAGCAGCAUUUUCAGUUCACACCUGACUUUUUGAUGAAAAUGAGCAGAACCAAACACCAGAAAAAUGCAGGGAAGAGGCCUGUGCCGUAGGACAGGUAGAGGGAGCCCAGGCAGAGCUGCCACAUAGCCUGGAUCCCGGAUAAGGCCCACACUCGUGCUCCAGGCUCUGAUGGAAAGGACAGCGCUAUUCUGCUGACCCAGGGGUGGCAGGAGUCUGAGGUCAAUUUCUCAGGUCCACACCCAGGCAGACAGGGCAACUGUGGGACUUCGUGAGAUCCUGUAUCAAACUAAAUUAAAAAAUAUAAAAGGGCAAGGGUUGUUGCUCAGUGUGAAGGUCUUGGAACCAAUCCCCAUUGCUGCAAUAAAUAAAGUUCCUUUCUCCCCAGC
rnacentral:lncRNA from 1 species